GACGAACGCUGGCGGCGUGCCUAAUACAUGCAAGUAGAACGCUGAAGAGAGGAGCUUGCUCUUCUUGGAUGAGUUGCGAACGGGUGAGUAACGCGUAGGUAACCUGCCUUGUAGCGGGGGAUAACUAUUGGAAACGAUAGCUAAUACCGCAUAACAAUGGAUGACCCAGGUCAUUUAUUUGAAAGGGGCAAAUGCUCCACUACAAGAUGGACCUGCGGUGUAUUAGCUAGUAGGUGAGGUAACGGCUCACCUAGGCGACGAUACAUAGCCGACCUGAGAGGGUGAUCGGCCACACUGGGACUGAGACACGGCCCAGACUCCUACGGGAGGCAGCAGUAGGGAAUCUUCGGCAAUGGGGGCAACCCUGACCGAGCAACGCCGCGUGAGUGAAGAAGGUUUUCGGAUCGUAAAGCUCUGUUGUAAGUCAAGAACGAGUGUGAGAGUGGAAAGUUCACACUGUGACGGUAGCUUACCAGAAAGGGACGGCUAACUACGUG
rnacentral:rRNA from 1 species